rnacentral:misc_RNA from 1 species
AACGUAGGAGGCGAACGUUAUCCGGAUUUACUGGGCGUAAAGCGCAUGCAGGCGGUUUCUUAAGUCGGACGUGAAAGCUCCUGGCUCAACCGGGAGAGGUCGUUCGAAACCGGGAAACUUGAGGAUGGUAGAGGAGAGUGGAAUUCCCGGUGUAGUGGUGAAAUGCGUAGAUAUCGGGAGGAACACCAGUGGCGAAGGCGGCUCUCUGGGCCAUUCCUGGCGCUAAGAUGCGAAAGCCAGGGGAGCAAACGGG